GAUGAACGCUGGCGGCGUGCCUAAUACAUGCAAGUCGAGCGAACGGACGAGAAGCUUGCUUCUCUGAUGUUAGCGGCGGACGGGUGAGUAACACGUGGAUAACCUACCUAUAAGACUGGGAUAACUUCGGGAAACCGGAGCUAAUACCGGAUAAUAUUUUGAACCGCAUGGUUCAAAAGUGAAAGACGGUCUUGCUGUCACUUAUAGAUGGAUCCGCGCUGCAUUAGCUAGUUGGUAAGGUAACGGCUUACCAAGGCAACGAUGCAUAGCCGACCUGAGAGGGUGAUCGGCCACACUGGAACUGAGACACGGUCCAGACUCCUACGGGAGGCAGCAGUAGGGAAUCUUCCGCAAUGGGCGAAAGCCUGACGGAGCAACGCCGCGUGAGUGAUGAAGGUCUUCGGAUCGUAAAACUCUGUUAUUAGGGAAGAACAUAUGUGUAAGUAACUGUGCACAUCUUGACGGUACCUAAUCAGAAAGCCACGGCUAUCUACGU
rnacentral:rRNA from 1 species